CGGGUUCUGCCCUUCUCGUAUACGGGUACAUUCCGGUGGCCUUAAGCAAAUCCGAGGGAGCUGGCUCUGGCGGGAUCGUGGUCUCGUUACCUGGCGCCCACCUGUACAUACAGGUCCUCGGGAAUGCACUACCCACACGGUUGGCGCGGUUCCCGC
rnacentral:misc_RNA from 1 species